GGCCCAGUAGCGGAGGGUCCGCGCCUGCUCUCAGUAUGGGGAUCACCUAGGAGAUGCAUCUGCAGGACUCGCUCGUUCGACUCGGGCCUGGGCCA